AAAAUGAUCCAUCAUCAUUAUCAAAAAUCCAUAUGAACUAAGGCUUCCUUUGGCAAAGCUUUUAGGAGAGCCAAAAAGUACUUUUUAACCUCCAAAAUAUUUUUGAAUGGUAUGAUGGUAUUUGGUAAAAAAAUUUAAUUUUUUUUUGCUUUGCCGAAUAGCUAAAAAAGUGUACUUACAAAAAGCUCCAUUUUGGAGCUUCUCCUCAAAAGUAUUUUUUGACCAAUGUCGGAAAGCUAUUUUGGUUUUAAUGGAUGCUUUGGUGACCAAAAAUACCUACUAACAAAUCUCAUAUAUAUACAUUUUAU
rnacentral:lncRNA from 1 species